GCCUCGCUGGCUCAGUUGGUAGAGCAUGUGACUCUUGAUCUCAGGCUUAUGAGUUCACGCCUCAUGUUAGGUU
rnacentral:tRNA from 1 species